AGUGAACGCUGGCGGUAGGCCUAACACAUGCAAGUCGAACGGCAGCACAGUAAGAGCUUGCUCUUACGGGUGGCGAGUGGCGGACGGGUGAGGAAUACAUCGGAAUCUACUUUUUCGUGGGGGAUAACGUAGGGAAACUUACGCUAAUACCGCAUACGACCUACGGGUGAAAGCAGGGGAUCUUCGGACCUUGCGCGAUUGAAUGAGCCGAUGUCGGAUUAGCUAGUUGGCGGGGUAAAGGCCCACCAAGGCGCCGAUCCGUAGCUGGUCUGAGAGGAUGAUCACCCACACGGGAACGGAGACACGGUCCAGACUCCUACGGGAGGGAGCAGUGGGGAAUAUUGGACAACGGGCGCAAGCCUGACCCAGCCAGACCGCGUGGGUGAAGAAGGCGUUCGGGUUGUAAAGCCCUUUUGUUGGGAAAGAAAAGCAGCAGGUUAAUACCCCGCUGUUCUGACAGUACCCAAAGAAUAAGCACCGGCUAACUUCGUG
rnacentral:rRNA from 1 species